rnacentral:rRNA from 2 species
UAGCGCGGUGGUCCCACCUGACCCCAUGCCGAACUCAGAAGUGAAACGCCGUAGCGCCGAUGGUAGUGUGGGGUCUCCCCAUGUGAGAGUAGGGAACCGCCAGGU